rnacentral:rRNA from 1 species
AUUGAACGCUGGCGGCAUGCCUUACACAUGCAAGUCGAACGGCAGCACGGGUGCUUGCCCCUGGUGGCGAGUGGCGAACGGGUGAGUAAUACAUCGGAACAUGUCCUGUAGUGGGGGAUAGCCCGGCGAAAGCCGGAUUAAUACCGCAUACGAUCUACGGAUGAAAGCGGGGGGCCUUCGGGCCUCGCGCUGUUGGGUUGGCCGAUGGCUGAUUAGCUAGUUGGUGGGGUAAAGGGCUAUCAAGGCGACGAUCAGUAGCUGGUCGGAGAGGACGACCAGCCACACUGGGACGGAGACACGGCCCAGAGUCCUACGGGAGGCAGCAGUGGGGAAUGUUGGACAAUGGGCGAAAGCCUGAUCCAGCAAUGCCGCGUGUGAGAAGAAGGCCUUCGGGUUGUAAAGCACUUUUGUCCGGAAAGAAAUCCUUGGCCCUAAGACGGUCGGGGGAUGACGGUACCGGAAGAAUAAGCACCGGCUAACUACGUG